rfam:Plasmodium yoelii yoelii 17XNL contig MALPY01470, whole genome shotgun sequence.
AAUGAUAUAACUUAAUUAGGUAAAGUGAAUAAUUGCAAAUUAUUUUAUUUCAGUUCAAAUCUGAAUAUCAUUU